rnacentral:rRNA from 1 species
UUGAUCCUGGCUCAGAACGAACCCUGGCGGCGUGGAUUAGGCAUGCAAGUCGCACGAGAAAGCUCCUUCGGGAGUGAGUAAAGUGGCGAAAGGGUGAGUAAUGCGUAGAUAACCUACCCUUGAGAUCGGGAUAACAGUUCGAAAGGACUGCUAAUACCGGAUGGCGCCGCUCGAGCUAAAUGGUGGGGACCUUCGGGCCUGCCGCUCAAGGAGGGGUCUACGUCCUAUUAGCUUGUUGGUGGGGUAACGGCCUACCAAGGUGACGAUGGGUAGCCGGCCUGAGAGGGUGUCCGGCCACACUGGGACUGAGACACUGCCCAGACUCCUACGGGAGGCUGCAGUCGAGAAUCUUCCGCAAUGGGCGAAAGCCUGACGGAGCGACGCCGCGUGGACGAUGAAGGCCUUCGGGUUGUAAAGUCCUUUCAAUAGGAAACCCGUGGUGUUAAUAACACUACGAUUGACGUUAUUGUGUAAAGAAGCUCCGGCUAACUUCGUGCCAGCAGCCGCGGUAAUACGAAGGGAGCGAGCGUUGUUCGGAAUCACUGGGCAUAAAGGGCACGUAGGCGGCUUGGUAAGUUGGAUGUGAAAGCCCCUGGCUCAACCAGGGAACUGCAUUCAAAACUGCCUUGCUAGAGUGUGGGAGGGGAGAACGGAAUUCCUGGUGGAGCGGUGAAAUGCGUAGAUAUCAGGAGGAACGCCGGUGGCGAAAGCGACUCUCUGGCCUGCAACUGACGCUGAGGCGCGAAAGCUAGGGGAGCAAACAGGAUUAGAUACCCUGGCAGUCCUAGCCCUAAACGAUGAGCACUAGGUGGAGGGGGCUCCGAAGGCCUCCCUGCCGGAGCUAAUGUGUUAAGUGCCCCGCCUGGGGAGUAUGGUCGCAAGGCUAAAACUCAAAGGAAUUGACGGGGGCUCACACAAGCGGUGGAGGAUGUGGUUUAAUUCGAAGCAACGCGCAGAACCUUACCCGGGUUUGAAAUGCAGGGAUUAGGCUCCUGAAAGGGAGUUGACGCCGCAAGGUGGAACCUGCGCAGGUGUUGCAUGGCUGUCGUCAGCUCGUGUCGUGAGAUGUCGGGUUAAGUCCCUUAACGAGCGAAACCCUUGUCUUUAGUUGCCAGCGGGUAAUGCCGGGGACUCUAGAGAGACUGCCGUUGUUAAAACGGAGGAAGGUGGGGACGACGUCAAGUCAUCAUGGCCUUUAUGUCCGGGGCUACACACGUCCCACAAUGGCCGGUACAAAGGGAAGCGAAGCCGCAAGGUGAAGCAAAUCCCACAAAGCCGGUCUCAGUUCGGAUUGUGGGCUGCAAUUCGCCCGCAUGAAGUCGGAAUCGCUAGUAAUCGCGGAUCAGCUACGCCGCGGUGAAUAUGUUCCUGAGCCUUGUACACACCGCCCGUCAAGCCACGGAAGUUGACAGUACCCGACGUUCGUGACCUAACCUUCGGGAAGGAAGCGCCUA